GACGAACGCUGGCGGCGUGCUUAACACAUGCAAGUCGAACGGAGAAUUUUAUUUCGGUAGAAUUCUUAGUGGCGAACGGGUGAGUAACGCGUAGACAACCUGCCUCUUAGAUGGGGACAACAUCGCGAAAGCGGUGCUAAUACCGAAUGAAGUGGAGCUUCCGCAUGGAAGCAUCACCAAAGGUGGCCUCUAUUUAUAAGCUACCACUGAGAGACGGGUCUGCGUCUGAUUAGCUCGGUGGCGGGGUAAUGGCCCACCAAGGCGACGAUCAGUAGCCGGUCUGAGAGGAUGAACGGCCACAUUGGGACUGAGACACGGCCCAAACUCCUACGGGAGGCAGCAGUGGGGAAUCUUCCGCAAUGGACGAAAGUCUGACGGAGCAACGCCGCGUGAGUGAAGAAGGUUUUCGGAUCGUAAAGCUCUGUUGUUUGAGACGAAUGUGCAGACUUUGAAUAAGGGUUUGUAAUGACGGUAUUAAACGAGAAAGCCACGGCUAACUACGUGCCAGCAGCCGCCGUAA
rnacentral:rRNA from 1 species